rnacentral:rRNA from 1 species
GACGAACGCUGGCGGCGUGCCUAAUACAUGCAAGUCGAACGAACCGCGACUAAGUGCUUGCACUAAGUCAAGGUGAGUGGCGAACGGGUGAGUAACACGUGGGUAACCUACCUCAUAGUGGGGGAUAACAGUCGGAAACGACUGCUAAUACCGCAUAGGACAUAGGAUCACAUGAUCCAGUGAGGAAAGGUGGCGCAAGCUAUCGCUAAGAGAUGGACCCGCGGUGCAUUAGCUAGUUGGUAGGGUAAAGGCCUACCAAGGCGAUGAUGCAUAGCCGACCUGAGAGGGUGAUCGGCCACAUUGGGACUGAGACACGGCCCAAACUCCUACGGGAGGCAGCAGUAGGGAAUCUUCCGCAAUGGACGCAAGUCUGACGGAGCAACGCCGCGUGAGUGAAGAAGGUCUUCGGAUCGUAAAGCUCUGUUGUUAGAGAAGAACAGCGCAUAGAGUAACUGCUAUGCGUGUGACGGUAUCUAGCCAGAAAGCCACAGCUAACUACGUG